UACGGAGGGGGCUAGCGUUGUUCGGAAUUACUGGGCGUAAAGCGCACGCAGGCGGACUGAUAAGUCGGGGGUGAAAUCCUGGAGCUCAACUCCAGAACUGCCUUCGAUACUGGCGAUCUUGAGUCCGGAAGAGGUGAGUGGAACUCCUAGUGUAGAGGUGGAAUUCGUAGAUAUUAGGAAGAACACCAGUGGCGAAGGCGGCUCACUGGUCCGGUACUGACGCUGAGGUGCGAAAGCGUGGGGAGCAAACAGG
rnacentral:rRNA from 1 species